rnacentral:rRNA from 1 species
UUGAACGCUGGCGGCAGGCCUAACACAUGCAAGUCGCGCGGAUGAAGGGAGCUUGCUCCUGGAUUCAGCGGCGGACGGGUGAGUAAUGCCUAGGAAUCUGCCUGGUAGUGGGGGAUAACGUCCGGAAACGGGCGCUAAUACCGCAUACGUCCUGAGGGAGAAAGUGGGGGAUCUUCGGACCUCACGCUAUCAGAUGAGCCUAGGUCGGAUUAGCUAGUUGGUGGGGUAAAGGCCUACCAAGGCGACGAUCCGUAACUGGUCUGAGAGGAUGAUCAGUCACACUGGAACUGAGACACGGUCCAGACUCCUACGGGAGGCAGCAGUGGGGAAUAUUGGACAAUGGGCGAAAGCCUGAUCCAGCCAUGCUGCGUGUGUGAAGAAGGUCUUCGGAUUGUAAAGCACUUUAAGUUGGGAGGAAGGGCAGUAAGUUAAUACCUUGCUGUUUUGACGUUACCAACAGAAUAAGCACCGGCUAACUUCGUG